GGGACUAGAGCCGGCAAACCCUAGCUGGCUUCUCGCGUCCCGGGAACUUUUUCCUCACUCCUGUCCCGCCCCCUUCCCUAUCCCUGUCCCACCUUCCGGCCCCCGGGACCCCCGGUAACGGUUGUGGCUGCUGCCCCGCUUCACCCGGAGUGUUGCUGAGCGCGGAGCUCGAGGGCGCCCGUGAGAGCCCCUGUUGAGUUCCCUGCUGCGUAGGAUGCCAGAACUGGAGACUCUGGAGAUCAUGAAGUUGGUGAAUUGCCCGGAGACCUUCACCCCGGACAUGAGGUGCAUCAUGGGCGAGUCCCCUUCAGUGCGGGGCUACUUCGUCCUGGCGGGAGUGAACUCUGCUGGCCUUUCGUUUGGUGGAGGAGCUGGAAGAGUUGACCAGAGUAAAGUGUUAGCUGUGCUGCUGGAAGACCCUUCACUGAAACGAGCUGCAGAAGCUUUCGACCCUACACCCAUCUGUUGAAGGUUCAAAAUGAUUCUUCGAUUGCAUAUGCUGAGAAGAUUGUGGAGCCCCUCUCCCAAUACAGCAGAAGUGGUGAUAACAGAUCAUUUCAGAGAGAAGAAAAAAGUACCAACCACCUAAAACAAGAGUCCAGCUACUCCUUGAACGAUCCCUCCAAUCUCCAGGGAGAGGUGAGUUGUCACAGAAAGCAAACACAUUUGGUCCCAGUGCCCAAGUCGGGGAUGACACAGAAAUGAAGAUGUUUUGAUUAUCAACUAUGCUUGAGGCAGGAAAGAGUCACCCCCUUCCGUUUAGGACCAAAUAGAGAAACCUACCAGAUUCAUAUUGCCUAUAUUUGAAUGAACCAAAGGAGACUUGAAGGAUGAAUUGUAAAGUGC